AGCAGCCGCGGUAAUUCCAGCUCCAAUAGCGUAUAUUAAAGUUGUUGCAGUUAAAAAGCUCGUAGUUGAAUUUCGGGGUCAGUAGGUUGGUCAUGCCUCCGGUAUGUACUGGUCUCACUGAUUCCUCCUUCCUGAUGAGCCGUAAUGCCAUUAAUUUGGUGUUGCGGGGAAUCUGGACUGUUACUUUGAAAAAAUUAGAGUGUUUAAAGCAAGCUAACGCUUGAAUACAUUAGCAUGGAAUAAUGGAAUAGGACGUUCGAUCCUAUUUUGUUGGUUUCUAGGAUUGACGUAAUGAUUAAUAGGGAUAGUUGGGGGCAUUAGUAUUCAAUUGUCAGAGGUGAAAUUCUUGGAUUUAUUGAAGACUAACUACUGCGAAAGCAUUUGCCAAGGAUGUUUUCAUUAAUCAAGAACGAAAGUUAGGGGAUCGAAGGCGAUCAGAUACCGUCGUAGUCUUAACCAUAAACUAUGCCGACUAGGGAUCGGAUGAUGUUAAUUUUUAAUGACUCAUUCGGCGCCUUAA
rnacentral:rRNA from 1 species